rnacentral:rRNA from 1 species
AGCUCCAAUAGCGUAUAUUAAAGUUGUUGCAGUUAAAAAGCUCGUAGUUGGAUUUCUGGUCUGAGCGUCCGGUCCGCCGCUGUGCGGUGUGUACUUGGUAUGACUCGGGCCUUCCUUGUAGGGAAUGUCUCUGGCAUUAAUUUGUCGGGGUCGGGAACUGCAUCGUUUACUGUGAAAAAUUAGAGUGUUUAAAGCAGGCAUUUGCUGUGAAUACAUUAGCAUGGAAUAAUAAGAUAGGACUUUGGUUCUAUUUUGUUGGUUGGAGGCCAAGGUAAUGAUUAAUAGGGAUAGUUGGGGGUAUUCAUAUUUAAUUGUCAGAGGUGAAAUUCUUGGAUUUAUGAAAGAUGAACUUAUGCGAAAGCAUUUACCAAGGAUGUUUUCA